CCUACGGGGGGCUGCAGUGGGGAAUAUUGGACAAUGGGGGCAACCCUGAUCCAGCCAUGCCGCGUGUGUGAAGAAGGCCCUCGGGUUGUAAAGCACUUUCAGUGAGGAAGAACGCCUGGUGGUUAAUACCCAUCAGGAAAGACAUCACUCACAGAAGAAGCACCGGCUAACUCCGUGCCAGCAGCCGCGGUAAUACGGAGGGUGCGAGCGUUAAUCGGAAUUACUGGGCGUAAAGCGCGCGUAGGUGGCUUGAUAAGCCGGUUGUGAAAGCCCCGGGCUCAACCUGGGAACGGCAUCCGGAACUGUCAAGCUAGAGUGCAGGAGAGGAAGGUAGAAUUCCCGGUGUAGCGGUGAAAUGCGUAGAGAUCGGGAGGAAUACCAGUGGCGAAGGCGGCCUUCUGGACUGACACUGACACUGAGGUGCGAAAGCGUGGGUAGCAAACAGGAAUAGAUACCCCAGUAGUA
rnacentral:rRNA from 1 species